CACUUAUUGGUGUUGAUGUUGUGUGUGACUUGGUGGUAAAAUACCUUUUGCAUCAUGAUCUAUUGAGUAAUUCUAAAGGUUUAGUUGUCCGAAGGGUGGCGAUUUUUGGUGAACUAGCUGUAGGGCGUAGCAGUAAGCGGGUAGCUUUUGUUAAAGUUUGCUAAGGGAGUGAUAAGUUAUUCGUGCAUCUUUAUAUCUGAUUAGUAAGUUUUAUUUUCUAUAAAAACUAUCUGCUAAGAUGUUGAUAGUUACUUGAGAAACGGCGAUAGGAUGACAUCAAUCGGGGGAUAGUGGUUUCCUAGAUUAGAACGUUUGUUAUAAAUUAGUUGAUUGGGUUGUUAGUUUUCAGUUUAGGGCUUGCUAGAAAAAUAGUUUGUAAGUGAUUAUGAUAGAAUAAGUAGUUUAAAAUUGGUUUCUUUUUGUCUCGUGUUAUGCCAGUCUGUUUAUUAAAAACAUUUCCAUUAUAUAGUAUUGAUGGUAGUGCCUGCCCAAUGUUGUAAAAAAUUAAUGGCCGCAGUAUAUUGACUGUGCAAAGGUAGCAUAAUUAGUUGCCUCAUAAUUGGGGGAUUGUUUGAAUGGUUUGACUAGGUAUAUAUGUUGAAAUGGGAGUCUUGAAUGAAAUUGGUAUUGAGGUGCAGAACCCUCGUGAUAAAAAUAAGACGGAAAGACCCCGAGAUCUUAAACGGUUAAAAUGUUUGUUUGGGGCAAAAGCAAAUAAUUUAUAUGCUUUUUGAGCCUGACAGGGUUGUUGGGUUAAAGGUGAAAGUUACCUCGGGGAUAACUGGGUAAGAGGUGAUUAGAGAUCAUAUCGAUUCAUUUAGUUGCUACCUCGAUGUUGACUUAGGAGGGUGCAGAGGUGUAGUAGUUUCUGUUAGAGGUCUGUUCGACCUAUAGUUUCUUCCAUGAGUUGAGUUAAGACCGGCGUGAGCCAGGUCGGUUCUUAUCUAUUGUUCUAGUAGUAUAGUACGAAAGGAAUUACUAUUAUUUAGGUU
rnacentral:rRNA from 1 species